CCGUCGGUGGCGCGGGUGUCGGCGGUGCUGGCGUCGGCGGUGUCAGCGGCACGGGUACUGGCGGCGUUCCUGUCGGCGGUGGCGGC
rnacentral:tRNA from 1 species